CCUACGGGCCGCACCAGCGGGGAAUAUUGGACAAUGGGCGAAAGCCUGAUCCAGCAAUGCCGCCUGUGUGAAGAAGGUCUUCGGAUUGUAAAGCACUUUCGACGGGGACGAUGAUGACGGUACCCGUAGAAGAAGCCCCGGCUAACUUCGUGCCAGCAGCCGCGGUAAUACGAAGGGGGCUAGCGUUGCUCGGAAUGACUGAGCGUAAAGGGCGCGUAGGCGGUUUAUGCAGUCAGAUGUGAAAUCCCCGGGCUUAACCUGGGAACUGCAUUUGAGACGCAUAGACUAGAGGUCGAGAGAGGGUUGUGGAAUUCCCAGUGUAGAGGUGAAAUUCGUAGAUAUUGGGAGGAACACCGGUGGCGAAGGCGGCAACCUGGCUCGAUACUGACGCUGAGGCGCGAAAGCGUGGGGAGCAAACAGGAUUAGAUACCCGCGUAGUC
rnacentral:rRNA from 1 species